rnacentral:misc_RNA from 1 species
CUUGCUGUUCAAUUACUGAGACAAGGUGUUACUGAAUUGAAUGUUGAGCCAUAUGAUGAAGAUCAGGGGACAGGUGAUUUACGAUAUGUCCAGAUGGCUGUCACAACUUACAACACUUCUCUUCCUGCCUCAGAAAGAUACAAAAAUGGUAAGGUACAAGUUGCUUUAGUUUGGAAUUCAAGAAAUGAGAACUCUCCUAAUUUUGACAAAUUAAAUGCCUUGGCUAAUUACUUGUGGAGAAAUGGCGG